UAUGAGAAGGAAAAAAGCAUAUGCCGCCGCCGGUUCCCAUCCACGCGUGAUUGGACCUCUGGCCCGCCCAUCUACAGAGACUUUCGACGGCGCCCACCCUGCUGCUCGUCUCUCCCCGUCACCGCCGUCGGCGUCGCCGUCUCUCUUCCCACGGACGCCCAGGUUAGAGGCAUCGCUCUUUCUCUUUACGUCGCUCUGCAACCGACCAACUCCGCAUCUCCUCCGUGAAGAAACCACUUAAUUGUGCAGCCUGUGGUAUUUCUGGAUCACACCGGGCGUCGUAGAAAGGUUUCCGGAAGCUGGGCUAUUACACUACUGUUUUUAUGAAGUUUUGUUGCUGUCCGAAUUUGCAAAUGAUAGCGCAAGAUGAUGAUGAAGUGUACCAAUCCUGAGCAAGAUUUGUCAAUCUCUCAUUGAUAUCAGAUUCUGUUCGAUGUAGAUGGACAUGCUUCACAUACUGAAUCUCCCAUGUUCUAUGGUUCUACUUCUACCACACCCUUCUUUGUUUUUAUAGAACUAUAAAUGCUACCACUAAAUUUUAGAUUAUGUCUGCAUAUUGUUUAGUAUUUUCUCAUGUAGAUCUGCACUGUGCAAACAAGGAGCUCAAAUAUCAAAGUGAAGAGAUGAUGCUCCUAUGUUGCGGAUACUGCCUCUGAUGAUAAAAUUCUGGGUGACCGUUUCCGAUGAUCUUGAAGCUACACAACAAAAAUACAAUGGAACGCUACAGAGUUGUUAUGAUAGAGCUUGUAUACUGUUGUUUACAUAGAUAGAUUCCAACUACAUCGACAAAGUAUGUAGGAUCUAAGGGAUUUUGUCUGGUCGAGUUCCUGUUUUAUUUUGUAGGAUGUAAAGGAUUUUGUCCUGUCGAGGCUCAGCUUUUUGUAAUGAGUCCACUGUUUGAUUGUAAAAUACAGUUUGUCCAAGGAAAUAAAUAUAUGUUUGUA